rnacentral:rRNA from 1 species
GGGGAAUAUUGCACAAUGGGCGGAAGCCUGAUGCAGCAACGCCGCGUGCGGGAUGACGGCCUUCGGGUUGUAAACCGCUUUCGCCUGUGACGAAGCGUGAGUGACGGUAAUGGGUAAAGAAGCACCGGCUAACUACGUGCCAGCAGCCGCGGUGAUACGUAGGGUGCGAGCGUUGUCCGGAUUUAUUGGGCGUAAAGGGCUCGUAGGUGGUUGAUCGCGUCGGAAGUGUAAUCUUGGGGCUUAACCCUGAGCGUGCUUUCGAUACGGGUUGACUUGAGGAAGGUAGGGGAGAAUGGAAUUCCUGGUGGAGCGGUGGAAUGCGCAGAUAUCAGGAGGAACACCAGUGGCGAAGGCGGUUCUCUGGGCCUUUCCUGACGCUGAGGAGCGAAAGCGUGGGGAGCGAACAGGCUUAGAUACCCUGGUAGUCCACGCUGUAAACGGUGGGUACUAGGUGUGGGGUCCAUUCCACGGGUUCCGUGCCGUAGCUAACGCUUUAAGUACCCCGCCUGGGGAGUACGGCCGCAAGGCUA